rnacentral:rRNA from 1 species
CCUACGGGAGGCAGCAGUGAGGAAUAUUGGACAAUGGGCGCAAGCCUGAUCCAGCCAUGCCGCGUGCAGGAAGAAGCAUCUAUGGUGUGUAAACUGCUUUUGUACAGGAAGAAACACUCCCUCGUGAGGGAGCUUGACGGUACUGUAAGAAUAAGGACCGGCUAACUCCGUGCCAGCAGCCGCGGUAAUACGGAGGGUCCGAGCGUUAUCCGGAAUCAUUGGGUUUAAAGGGUCCGUAGGCGGUUUAAUAAGUCAGUGGUGAAAUCUGGUCGCUCAACGAUCAAACGGCCAUUGAUACUGUUAGACUUGAAUUAUAAGGAAGUAACUAGAAUAUGUAGUGUAGCGGUGAAAUGCUUAGAUAUUACAUGGAAUACCAAUUGCGAAGGCAGGUUACUACUUAUGGAUUGACGCUGAUGGACGAAAGCGUGGGGAGCGAACAGGAUUAGAUACCCUGGUAGUCCACGCCGUAAACGAUGGAUACUAGCUGUUCGGAGCAAUCUGAGUGGCUAAGCGAAAGUGAUAAGUAUCCCACCUGGGGAGUACGUUCGCAAGAAUGAAACUAGUAAGAAUUGACGG